AGAGUUUGAUCAUGGCUCAGAGCGAACGCUGGCGGCAGGCCUAACACAUGCAAGUCGAACGGAUCCUUCGGGAUUAGUGGCGGACGGGUGAGUAACACGUGGGAACGUGCCUUUUGGUUCGGAACAACUCAGGGAAACUUGAGCUAAUACCGAAUGUGCCCUUCGGGGGAAAGAUUUAUCGCCAUUAGAGCGGCCCGCGUCUGAUUAGCUUGUUGGUGAGGUAAAGGCUCACCAAGGCUACGAUCAGUAGCUGGUCUGAGAGGAUGAUCAGCCACAUUGGGACUGAGACACGGCCCAAACCCCUACGGGAGGCAGCAGUGGGGAAUCUUGCGCAAUGGGGCGAAAGCCUGACGCAGCCAUGCCGCGUGAAUGAUGAAGGUCUUAGGAUUGUAAAAUUCUUUCACCGGGGACGAUAAUGACGGUACCCGGAGAAGAAGCCCCGGCUAACUUCGUG
rnacentral:rRNA from 1 species